GGGGAAUAUUGGACAAUGGGGGCAACCCUGAUCCAGCAAUGCCGCGUGUGUGAAGAAGGUCUUCGGAUUGUAAAGCACUUUCGACGGGGACGAUGAUGACGGUACCCGUAGAAGAAGCUCCGGCUAACUUCGUGCCAGCAGCCGCGGUAAUACGAAGGGGGCUAGCGUUGCUCGGAAUGACUGGGCGUAAAGGGCGUGUAGGCGGUUUACACAGUCAGAUGUGAAAUCCCCGGGCUUAACCUGGGAGCUGCAUUUGAUAUGUGUAGACUAGAGUGUGAGAGAGGGUUGUGGAAUUCCCAGUGUAGAGGUGAAAUUCGUAGAUAUUGGGAAGAACACCGGUGGCGAAGGCGGCAACCUGGCUCAUGACUGACGCUGAGGCGCGAAAGCGUGGGGAGCAAACAGGAUUAGAUACCCUGGUAGUCCACGCUGUAA
rnacentral:rRNA from 1 species